GUUGGGAAAGCUUUUAUUGAAGCGUGGCUUUGAAGGAGCUAAAAAGAUUUUACGUCUUCUGACA
rnacentral:tRNA from 1 species